GCCAAACACCAGACAGCUAGGGACAGCCCUUAAGCCCCAGAGCCUGAUGAAAUUAUUCAAACUAGCCUAAGCCUGCUUACCCUGCCUUGCUAAUUUCUUCCUGUGGAAACCACAAUGAAGGCUCUUGUCCAUGUUUCCCCUUCACUCUGUCUGUCUCCUGACAGCCCUGGUGCUUCCCCGUGUGGCCCUGCACAGCAUGCCAUGCCUCCGGUUUCCAGGGACCUGUGAUGUCGUGCAUCAGGAUUAGCGCCUCAAUUUAUCGCCGGCUCAAGCUCCACACAUGCUCCAUGACAGGGUGUUGUCCGCAUCCCCGAAAGUUCCAGGAAGGAGACAGUGUUUGCUGAGUGGUGGGCUUUAGAUAUUCAGCAGUGUGGUUGGCUUUUAUGGGCUGAGAAUGUGUGUGAGUGUGAGCGCAUGCGUGCUCGUGCAUGCUGGUGUUGGGCCUGGGGCACUGUGUUGUUUGAAAGGCGCAGGGAACAGACACUUUGUACUCAGAUGCAUCAAUUUCCAACGGCAGCAGAAUGCUGUUUCUGGUUGAAAGAGAAAGAAGAAAGCGAAAUCUUCAUUUCAGCUUAGGAAUGGGGUCCACAUGUUUAGCUCAAAGUGAGUGGAAAUCUCUGAAAAGCAGGUUUGGGCUAAUGAAUGUCAGCAGGCCUUCAAUGUAAAUGGGAUUUGAUUAGCAGGAAGGAGUGUGGUUGGGAUGUUUCCAUUACCAAAGAAUGAUAUAGAGGGGCAAGGCUUGUCUUAAGGGGAUGAAGAAGGUCCCUCCAACUGCCCAAGUAGAUCCUUUUCCAGUAGGCUUUCAGACGCUCAGAAAACAUGGGGCUGACCUUGGCUUCUACCACAUGCCAUGGGGCACGAGACCAUUGUUCCAGACAAGUAAACCUGAGGUGGGGGGAGGUGGCAGAGCUGCGACUGGACACCACGAAUGAAAUAUUCUACAAUACAAAACAUGCCACAUCAGUCCUCAACAUUGCCUUGCCUCUAUGCCCCUCAUUUUAAAGAUGACAAAACUGAGGACCACAGAGGUCAAUAUCCCAGAGUCUGGAACUCUUCAUCCUUGGAGAAUCCAGGUCUUCUGCUUCUGGAAUCCUUCUUCUUUGGGCAUUCUUUUAACUGGUAGCAACUCAUGUCUUGCCAGUCUUGUCUCUGGCUCCCCUACUCUGUUUUUCUUCAAGAUUAAGGGUUUAAAUGAUAUCUAAAGUAGGACCUACCUAGAAAAAAGACCUACAUAAAAUUCCUUUUAGAUUGAUAUGGGGAAGCAAACAAAGGAACUUACAAAUAUACUCUCUUAGGCUAUUAUUUUAAAUAAGCAACGGUUGCUCAGGAGCACUAAUGGGAAACCGUAAAAAAACCUUUUUAUUUUGAAAUAAAUUCAAAUCCACAUAGAAAUUUCAAAAAUAGUGCCAAGAGUUCCUGUAAAUUUUUCUUCAGCUUCCCUCACUUUACCGUGUUUGCUUUAUCCUUCUCUCUCUCUCUCUCUCUGUGUGUGUGUGUGUGUGUGUGUGUGUGUGUGUGUGUGUUUUAUUUCUUUUCUGAAUGGCUUGGGAGUACACUGUACACAUUCUACCACUUUAUCCCUAAAUACAUCAGUACACAUUUCCUAAAUUCAUUUACACAACCACAGUACAGUUAUGAAAUCCAAGAAAUUAACAUUGCUAUAGUAUUAUUCUCUAAUUUAUAGACCUUGUUUGAACUUCAGUAAAUGUCCUACUAAUGUCCUUUCUAGCAAAAAAAAAAAAUUGUUUUCCACUUACUUUGGGAUUGUGUGAAACUCGUGUCUCAUUUAUGGGGACUUACGUGAGAGGGUUGAGUGUGCUGAAGUUUUAGGCUGUUAAACUAAAAAGUAAACAUUACCUUAAAAAUACGUGUAUGUUAUAUCUAUAGUAUCUUCACCUUGAUAAUUCUUCUUUGAUAAUUAUGAUUAAAUGUCAUAAUGGGAAAAUUCAAAACCUUUAUAUCUGUGAACCAAAAAAUAAAACCAGAUUCUGCAUUCCUCGUGCAUUUCAAUUUGGUGUAAGUCUCUUCAAUAUCUGCUUGCUUGCUAGCUGUGCCUUUCUACUUGCCUGCUCACAAGAUUUCUGAAAGUCUUGGUGAUGGUUUUGGCUCUGAAUCCAGACUGAGUAAAACAAAAGUCCAAAGCGUGUUUUGGCAAAGUGUGGUUAGCAAGGGUGAUUGGUCUACAAGUGCGUUUCAGUGAUG
rnacentral:lncRNA from 10 species